rnacentral:rRNA from 1 species
ACGGGUGAGUAACACGUGGGAACGUGCCCUUCAGUUCGGAACAACCCAGGGAAACUUGGGCUAAUACCGGAUACGUCCGCAAGGAGAAAGAUUUAUCGCUGAAGGAUCGGCCCGCGUCUGAUUAGCUAGUUGGUGGGGUAAUGGCUCACCAAGGCGACGAUCAGUAGCUGGUCUGAGAGGAUGAUCAGCCGCACUGGGACUGAGACACGGCCCAGACUCCUACGGGAGGCAGCAGUGGGGAAUAUUGGACAAUGGGCGCAAGCCUGAUCCAGCCACGCCGCGUGAGUGAUGAAGGCCUUCGGGUCGUAAAGCUCUGUGGGGAGGGACGAACCGCUGCGGAUUCAUACUCCGCAGCAUGACGGUACCUCCUUAGCAAGCACCGGCUAACUUCGUG